UACAGAGGUCCCAAGCGUUGUUCGGAUUCACUGGGCGUAAAGGGUGUGUAGGAGGUCGUGUAAGUCGGGUGUGAAAUCCCACUGCUUAACGGUGGAAUGGCAUUCGAUACUGCGUGACUAGAGGGCUAGAGGGGCAAGCGGAAUUCAUGGUGUAGCAGUGAAAUGCGUAGAUAUCAUGAGGAACACCGGUGGCGAAAGCGGCUUGCUAGACAGCUCCUGACUCUGAAACACGAAAGCCAGGGGAGCAAACGGG
rnacentral:rRNA from 1 species